rnacentral:lncRNA from 1 species
AGCAAGAACAACCACUUUCCUUUUUACCUGCUUACUGGUACCUCUCGGAAUCUAUAGGGAUGUCCUUCUACGCGAGAACCUAAUAUUUAAAUUUGUCAAUUAACUAGCUAUCCUCAUACUCCAUCUGGUAAUGGGCGUCAAACAUACUAUCACCUCGAUAUCUCGUCCACUAUGAGAAUCAUGUCUCCCAAACCUUUUCGGUAUUGGACUUCUCAGCCCCGUUUGACUUAGGUAAUGUCCACAAUAGGAUUUUCUAUAUACCGAAUUUGUCCACCCUUUCUUAGGGUACCC